rnacentral:tRNA from 1 species
UUCCCACGCCGGGAAUCGAACCCGGGCCUCCUGGGUGAGAGCCAGUUAUCCUAGCCACUAGACCACAUGAGGA